CAGAGCCUUUUUCUAUUCUAUAUACCUUUUUUCACAUAUAAGGAGAGCUCAAUUGAUAUAUGGAGCAUGGGCAGUUUGUGGACUAUAGCAGUUGUUAUUCUUGUUAAUAUACACUUGGCGAUGGACAUUCAGCGUUGGGUAUUCAUUACUCAUGCUGCAGUGUGGGGAUCAAUAAUUAUCACAUGUGCUUGUAUGGUGGUAUUGGAUUCUAUACCUAUCUUCCCAGAUUACUGGGCAAUCUACCAUGUGGCAAAGUCACCCACCUAUUGGCUCACCAUUUUGCUUAUAAUAAUUGUGGAUUUACUUCCUCGCUUUCUUCUCAAAGUUAUACAUCAGAAUUUUUGGCCUUCAGAUAUUCAAAUAUCCAGAGAAGCAGAGAUUCUUAGAAAAGUGACUCCUAAUUUUAGGGACAGAUGAAGAUUCCAAUUAACAUGUACAUUACACCCUGUUUUGAAAUGGUUACUCAUGUCUAUCCAUCAUAUGGCUGUCCUGUGGCAUGCAAUUGUAAUUUAUGAUGAUGAGUUGCAAAAAGCUGAAUUUGCAGCAGGCUUGUGAAACAUUAAUGAAAAAGCACGGCAGAAUAUUUUUAUGUAAAGGGAAAGAGAGGGAGGGUUGGUCAAAGUGAACGCAGAGUGGCCUGUUGCUGUAUACUUCAUGUUUUU